rnacentral:sRNA from 1 species
UUGGCAGCAAUUGUAAAUAAUAUUUAUAAUCUGGUGAUAUUAAAAGUGAAAAGUUACAAGGGGGAGAAGGAAUGUUCUCCUUUGAAAAUUAGUGGCCACAUUUGGUGAUGGAUGAGAUGAAGAUGCAUCCUUCCAUAAUCUUGCCUUUUUAAAAAAAUUAUAAAGCUCAAAUGCAUUUUGCCAGAAAAAUUGCAUGAAUCUUCAGCAUGCAUUGUUAACUUUUUGUCUUUUCCCCUUUCUUUCUGCUGUUCAUUUUCAUUCAUAUAUUUUUGAUUUUUGGUUUGCCAUUGUUUUUUUCUUUUUUGUUAAUUACUUCAUUAAAUUAUUUUUGAAACGUCAUAAGCUGAGCAACCUCUCCGUGUAGUAACAGCGGAUACCUGUCUAUUUCACUAUUUAGUCCCUCCUCCUAUGUCUCCAUCCUCCAAAUCUGUGAGCACUCCAAGUGAAGCUGGAAGCCAAGACUCUGGAGAUGGCGCCGUGGGAUCUAGGACGCUGCAUUGGGAUACAGAUCCAUCAGUUCUUCAGCUUCACUCAGAUUCCGAUUUGGGACGAGGACCUAUUAAACUUGGAAUGGCUAAAAUCACGCAAGUCGACUUUCCUCCUCGAGAAAUUGUCACGUAUACAAAGGAAACUCAGACUCCAGUUAUGGCUCAACCCAAAGAAGAUGAAGAGGAAGAUGAUGAUGUAGUGGCUCCUAAACCACCUAUUGAACCUGAAGAAGAGAAAACUUUAAAGAAAGAUGAGGAAAAUGAUAGUAAAGCUCCCCCUCAUGAGCUGACUGAAGAAGAAAAGCAACAAAUCUUGCACUCUGAGGAAUUUUUAAGUUUCUUUGACCAUUCUACAAGAAUUGUAGAAAGAGCUCUUUCUGAGCAGAUUAACAUCUUCUUUGACUAUAGUGGGAGAGAUUUGGAAGACAAAGAAGGAGAGAUUCAAGCAGGUGCUAAACUGUCAUUAAAUCGACAAUUUUUUGACGAACGUUGGUCAAAGCAUCGGGUGGUUAGUUGUUUGGAUUGGUCAUCUCAGUAUCCGGAGUUACUCGUGGCUUCCUAUAACAACAAUGAAGAUGCCCCUCAUGAGCCUGAUGGUGUGGCCCUUGUAUGGAAUAUGAAAUACAAAAAAACUACCCCAGAGUAUGUGUUUCACUGCCAGUCAGCUGUGAUGUCUGCCACAUUUGCAAAAUUUCAUCCAAAUCUUGUUGUUGGUGGUACAUAUUCAGGCCAAAUUGUGCUUUGGGAUAACCGUAGCAAUAAAAGAACUCCAGUGCAAAGAACUCCACUGUCAGCAGCUGCACACACACACCCUGUAUAUUGUGUAAAUGUUGUUGGAACACAAAAUGCUCACAAUCUGAUUAGCAUCUCUACUGAUGGAAAAAUUUGUUCAUGGAGUCUGGACAUGCUUUCCCAUCCACAGGAUAGCAUGGAGUUGGUUCAUAAACAGUCAAAAGCAGUAGCUGUGACAUCUAUGUCCUUCCCUGUUGGAGAUGUCAACAACUUUGUUGUUGGGAGUGAAGAAGGUUCUGUGUACACAGCAUGCCGCCAUGGCAGCAAAGCUGGAAUCAGUGAGAUGUUUGAGGGGCAUCAAGGACCAAUCACUGGCAUCCAUUGUCAUGCAGCUGUUGGAGCAGUAGACUUCUCACAUCUUUUUGUCACUUCAUCGUUUGACUGGACAGUAAAGCUUUGGACAACUAAGAAUAACAAGCCUUUGUAUUCAUUUGAAGAUAAUGCAGACUAUGUUUAUGAUGUUAUGUGGUCACCUACCCACCCAGCCCUGUUUGCCUGUGUGGAUGGCAUGGGGAGAUUGGAUUUGUGGAAUCUCAAUAAUGACACAGAGGUACCAACUGCCAGCAUUUCUGUGGAGGGUAAUCCUGCUCUUAAUCGUGUGAGAUGGACCCAUUCUGGCAGAGAGAUUGCUGUGGGUGAUUCUGAAGGACAGAUUGUUAUAUACGAUGUGGGAGAGCAGAUUGCUGUUCCCCGCAAUGAUGAAUGGGCACGGUUUGGCCGAACACUUGCAGAGAUUAAUGCAAACCGAGCUGAUGCAGAGGAGGAAGCAGCUACCCGAAUACCUGCUUAGUUCCUGAAAAGGGGAGUGUAACUAGUGGAUUUGGGAAAGGUUCUUAAGUAGAUCCUGAGACUAUUUGCAUGCUUCUGUCUAAAUGAUAAUUAAAAGGAAAUUUCAUGGAUUAAACCAUGGGUUUAAUGCAGCAAGGAAACUUACAAUGUCCCUUUAUAUAUAACAUGCAUCUUGUUUUGGAUUUGUGUCAUUUUUUAAUAUAGCUGAUUGACUUCACAGAAAGCAGCUUUUUUGAAUUCUAAUACAUAGGUGUAUAUUUGGUAUUAGUUAUUUUGAGUUCUUUUCAACUUAUAACACUGUAUACAGUUAUUUCUAAAGCACAGAUGAAAUAAGUUCUGCAUAUUUUUAAAUAAUCACAGUUCCCUGUUAUACAGAUAAUGUUCUCACUGCCCAUAAUAUGUAGGAACAUUGUUUCUCCUUAGCCGUAGUAUGCAUACACCUAUCCAUGUUCAUUCUGACAUCCUUUGUUGUCUUUAUAAUUCAUGUGGUAGUUACCUAUAAAUAAAAACAAAUAUGCGUU